GUCUCUUUGGAGACAUCCGAUAAAACUGGAAUGAUACAAAGAAGAUUAGCUUGGUCCUUGAAUAAGGAUGACCCAAAAAUCGAGAAAUUGUCCCCAAAAAAAAUAAUU